rnacentral:lncRNA from 1 species
GAACUCACAAGGUUUAAUGAACGUUUGUCCUCUCACAUCCUCAUCAUGAAGACAGACUCAUAAAUGCCUGCCAGUAUGUGUCAGUAGUUGGUGAUAAAAGUAUGUUCUUGAUUCUAAAUUCAUUUCCCUCAGAAAAAUAGUUUUAUAAAUCUUCAAAUUUUAGAGUAACUAUUUGCCCAUGACUGAAGGUCAGUAUUUGCUAAACAAAUGCAUUUUGAGGUAUUGUCUUUUAGUCCUAAACUUCAAGUACCCAUGAAGUCUUAGAGUAGGAAGAACAAAUGCGCUGUCCUUAAGGUUUGCACUUAUUCUCUGCUUUCUUCUCUUUA